rnacentral:lncRNA from 1 species
CACUACAGCAGCAAUAGGUGGAGUCGCUAGGUGUCGUGAUAGGUGGAGUCACAGUGGCAGCAGUGGAUGUAGCUGCUGGAUCAGUGGUGAGUAUAGCCAUUGAUGAAAGGACCAACAGAGAGGUGCCUAGAUGUAGGACAUGGUUUUCAACCAUAAGGAAGGCAGUAGUGGUCUCCUGGAUAGCUUCAGAGCUAAGAUAUACUGCAG